GGCAGCGGGCAGCGAAGCAGCAACUAAACAUAUGUCACAAAGCAAGCUCUACUCUCUCUCUCGCUCUUGCUCUCUCUUUUAUUUUUUCUCUAUUUCCAUGUCGGUGCGUUUGCCGGUGGCGUUGACUGCGCUGCUUUUAUGAUUCAUUUAUCAACGUCAAGCGUCAAAAGUCAAUGCAGUGACAGCGGCGGCGUCAACGCCGGCAGCAGCAAAUACUACAAUAACAACCAUGUACUAUGUGGCGCUGGGUGUGAAAAUUAUAGGCAAACAAUUAUUUUUUGUCUGUGCACUCGUAUGCUUGUUGGCCGUCUGCCCAACAUCAAGAGCGCAAUGAUGACGAACAUCGACGAUAGAUUUGAGCACCCUGUUUUCAUUUGCGAAAGAGCAUAUGAGUGUGGCAUGUCAGUUCCUAUAAACAAAGGUCGUUUUCUGAAGCCAUUAAAUAAUUGACUGAACUUUGGUUAAUCUAGAUGCCUUUCACUGCUAUUUUGGCCCUGGCAAUAAGUUGCGAAGAGUAUCUAGCAGUCGUGACUGCGAAUGCAACGUUCUUUUAUUUUGUAACUUAUAUUUGAAGUUCAAG